AGUCAUUCAGUAGUGUUCUUUGGUAAUGAACCUGUAAGCAGAAGUUCGGAGUGAUCCCAGAAGGAUAUCAUAAUCAGUGAAAGCAAAAGCUGCAGAGUUAUCAUGGAGAAUCAUAAGCGUAGCACUUUCACUAUCUCUCUCCCAGUAAAGGUUAUCAGUGAGGGGGACUAAGGCUGUUUUGGUACCAUAACCAAGCCUGGAGCUCGACUGAAAUGUGCCUAGAUGAGUAACAUGCCUUUAAAAUUGCUCAGUAUAUAAAAGUCAAAUUCGGUCAUCAGAAAUCUGACAAAGUCAUUUGACUUACGAUCUUCAAAUACUUCUCUAAAAUAUAUGCUUAUUUCAUUCAUUUUGAAAAGUUUGGAUGAAUGAUUGAAAGCCUAAGGGCAGGUUUGUCUUGCAUUCUGGUGAAGUGAUGUGAUGACUCAAAUAUGGUCGUGGAACACGAGACACUAGAGGGCACAAUUGUACCUUCAGAUUUUGUAUUUUAUCCUUCCCAUAAAUUAACACAGAAAGAAAAUCUGAUGAAUGUGGUGCAUGGUAAACCUACAGCCCAUUUAAGGCAACAGAUAAAAUGCUAAACAAAAAAAGCAACAGAAAAAAGAAAGGAGGGGAAUUAACUUUCUGAUUGUUUUCGGCUAUAAUAAGAAGGAAAAAACAUGACAUCCGCUUACUAGAAGGAUAAAAAUACAAAUUAUAUUUGAAAAAGAGAAGUCAAUGUAUUCGCAAAAGAACAGUGACAUUUAAGAAAAAUGGCACAGAAGUUACACUAUUGUAUUUGAAUGGCAGAAAUGCAUUAUAAAUCUAUUUGCUGUUAGCUAGCCUAUCAUUAUGAAAAAAGGCAAGAUGUUGCAAGCAUUAUCUCUUUCAUGAUGUUAUAUCGGCAAUGCAACCACUAAUAGAAUGUUUAGUAACAAAAGUGAGAAAGCUUUUUGGCCUUGCAGAUCUGCAGCUUUCAUGAAAUGUCACCAAAGCUAUUUGAUGCAGAAUUGAAAUAGUAUGUUAGCUUUAUAGCCUUAACAGAAGGGAUAAUUAUCAGGACCCCAAAACAUAUAUUUAGAAAGCAUGUAAAGACUUUUAGGAAGGUCAUAGACUAAAAAGGUCACUUUGUAUCCCUUAAAACUCUUUAAGAAUGCCAUUCAUGCCAAGUCACAUAAUAAUAAAGGAAUUUGUAGGUUUAAAAACUGAGUUUCACUUGGACACAUGCCCCUGUUCUGGGGUACUGUCUGAAGGCGCAUGGAGCAGCACCCUUGAUGGAACUAAGUGGACCAGGCCUAGCCAAUGUUUGAAUGAAAGGUUGCCUGGGAGUCCAAGGUAUGUUGCUUUCAGUUCCAUUAAAGAAAGGUAUGAAACGAAUGAUGUGGUGACACUGUGCAGGACAUAAACAAGAAUACCAUUGGGGGGUGCGUGCGGCGGAAUACGUCAAGGUGUGGCAAGCAGAUAGAUUGUGAGCAAGGUUUCUACAGGGGUAGCUUGCGGUGCCCUCCAGAGGUUGAACUACAAAUCCCAUCAUUCCUGAUCAUUUACUAUACUGGCAGGGACUGGGAGAAAUGUAGUUCAACAACAGCUAGAGGAUACCACAUUUGCUACCCAGCUUUACAGCAUAUCUUUGAUACCGUAAUGGUUAGAAAGAUGCUACUUUUUGAAUUCACAUUCUUUGUCCGUCCCCCCCCCCCAAUGCUCCUGUGGAAUCCCAGACUUCAUGCAGAUUGUAGUAGCACCCUUUUAUUACUUACGGUUAGUACACACUCCCUGUAGUCCCCUACAUUAUAUAUUAUUUGAGAAAGACACAGUUGGGUGACUAUGAUCCUGUUCCCUCUUCUUCUUGAUACUGUCAGGCAGUGUGGAUUGCGUCAUUUUGUAGUUUACUGGAAACCUUGUACCUGGUGUUGCUUGGGAAUUCUGAGAAACCACAACACAAAAAUCGGGGCAGUUUUAAAAGCUUAACUUCACUAUCUUGAUCCAAAAUGACAUCUAAUUAUAUCCAAACAUAGACAAAUAUUUAUUUAUUACAUUUAUAUACUGCCUUUCAACCAGAUAUCACUGUGCAGUAAUAUUGCAGCCAUAUUACAGAUGAGUUGGAAUGAGGCUGAAAUAUAUCAUGCCCAUAUUGUGGGGGUGGGGCUGAGACAGAGGCCCUAAAUUGUAGUUUGUUCUUCAGAGUCUUGUUGUGUUGGGUAUUUGAGCUCUAUAUGCUGAGAGAAACUAGCUUGUAACUUAGAUGAAAGUACAAGUCUUUUUGCAUUGCCACCUCUGUUUUCCUCUCCCCACUCACUUAAAUCCAGGUUCCUGGGGUUUGGUUUAUACGCCUCUCUCAGGAUCAAAAAGUACAGUAGAGUGAUAUCUCGGGUUAAGAACUUAGUUCAUUCCGGAGGUCCAUUCUUAACCUGAAACUGUUCUUAACCUGAAGCACCACUUUAGCUAAUGGGGCCUCCCACUGCUGCCGCACGAUUUCUGUUCUCAUCCCGAAGCAAAGUUCUUAACCCGGGGUACUAUUUGUGGGUUAGCGGAGUCUGUAACCUGAAGCAUCUGUAACCUGAGGUACCACUGUAUCUGAAAUAUUUUGGCUGUGAAUCCUGGAGGACCUGCUUCCUGCCUUGCAGGCCUUGACUGACUCCAGCCACAAAAGCUGAACAGACUCUUGGGUUGGGGUAUUGUUUAGGGCAUUUUGUUUCAAGGUUCUAAUGCUGUUAUUAUUGCUCUAAUUGUUUAAAAUGGUUUUUAACUUGUGUGUUUUUAAAUUUGAAUUUGUUAUAUUUAAGGAACGUAAUAUGUUCCUGGGAAGAGAGGAGCAGGGGUGCCCCCAAUCAUAGUGGUUCUGGGCAAGGGGUGGGGCGGGGCACACUAGAUAAGGGGCACACGACACAGGCAGUUGGUGACUAUGCCAUGCGCCAGCCCCUCCUCCAACCUGGGGAAUUGCAGUUGUCUGCAGCUGCUGUUGUUGAAUUCCAGGUCAGCUCUGAAUAAGUCACCCCUUGCCCAUGGUGUGAUUAUGGAUGAGGAGGCUGAUCUGGUCUGUAUCACUGAGGCCUGGCGACUGGCUCAGAACUCCAUAGCUGCCAUGACAACAAUGGGGCUGUCCCAACAUGUCACUGGCCCAACAUAUGUGGCAGGCCGCACUGGACCUUGUUUUCUCAAAGGGGUAGGGAAAGGAUGAUCUGAAAGUGGUGGAUAUUGCAUCAGUCCCUUGUUAUGGUCAGAUGCUUCUUUCAGCAUCUUUUCCCUUCUGCAGGAGCAGCGAACUGAUUAGGAUGGUCCACUCUCAGAAGCUGAUGAAUUCAAUGGGUUUCCAGAUGGCUCUGGGGGAUUUUCUGACUGGUAUGACUGGCACUCCUCUGGGACAUCUGAAUGCUUUGGGCUGAUGAUACAAUUGUCCCUGAGUGCCCCCUCCCGCUUCAUGGAGACUGCUUGGCUCCCUGGUAUACUCCAGAGUUUAGGACAAGGAAACAAGCUGGGAGGCAGCUCAACCGUGAGUGGAGGAAAACUCUGGCUGAACCCACAACCCUUAGAUUUAAAGACUCAUGCUCCACUGACUGAGCUAUCCUUGCUCUUGCUAAUGGUCCAGGGUGGCUGAUAGUUUCUCAGUGGACUCUCAUAGUUGGAUAGUACCUGCAUAUCACUCUUCAGCUUUUAACAAGUUUAUUUUUCUCACUUCCACGCCAACUGGGGAGUGUGUGAUGAUAUAAAAUAUAUUCAUGAAGGGACGAAAGAAGCAGGGUGAGCAAGAAAGAGCUAAGAGUUAGGGUGUGUGCUCAUCAGUGUCUUAGAGUGCAGUGAAGUUGUGAUCUCUUGCCCCAUGUGUUUCACAGCUCUUUAUCCCCAAGCUGUUCACAUCAGCAUGAUUUCAUUAGUGUCAAUUUCAUUUCUAUUUGUGUUCGCACCAGGGGACAUC